GAUGUGUUUGUGGAGUUUCAGUGAGUUCCCCACCCUUCCCCGUGGUGAUGCUGCCCGAGCCUCUCUCCAAGCAGCUGAUGAUGCUUUGGGAGAGCUCAGCUGCCUUUGCACCAGCCUGGAUUCCUUCCCACUGACAACACCAAGUUCCUUGGAGCCUGAGAACCAAUGCAUUAACUCUGAGAAGGGGCAGCAGAAGGAAAGCCUGGAGCUGGAACAUCCUUUGAGCAACAGCAAAGGAAGAGAAAGCAAAACCACCCCUCUAAGAUGGCUGCAAACAGAAGGUCUCUGCAGCCCCUCCUUAAACACUGAAGAUAUUUUCAUUUAAAAUAUCUACUUAAAGGCAGGUUUAAUCUCAAAACGGCAUUUUCCACUUAAAAAAAAAAAAAUCACAUGCACACAAAAAACCCCCACCUUCAAAAAUGUCUUCAGUUAUUUCUCCUUCAAUUUUUUUUUCCAAUUAAA